rnacentral:lncRNA from 1 species
CCCCCUUCUCGCUGAGACAGGCGUGCGUUAACAUUCUGUCCUUGGCCGGGACCCACCCGCAUAAGUACAGCUGUUAGCUGCCCUGAGCAGCAGGAGCUCAAGCGGCCACCUUCAUGGUCACCACACACUUACGAGGUGAACUCAGAUGCAGAUUUAACCUUAAAGAGCUCUGGAAGGAACAUGACAGCAUCCUCUCCUGUGUGGGGUUCACUGAGAAAUCCUGGGCCGGUGUCUCUCUAAGGACACUGAGAUCUGCCUGUGUAUAGGAG